rnacentral:tRNA from 1 species
CGGCGAGUAGCACAGCUUGGUAGCGCAACUGGUUUGGGACCAGUGGGUCGGAGGUUCGAAUCCUCUCUCGCCGACCA